rnacentral:rRNA from 1 species
UGAGAGGGCGGACGGCCACAUUGGGACUGAGACACGGCCCAGACUCCUACGGGAGGCAGCAGUAGGGAAUUUUCGGCAAUGGGGGAAACCCUGACCGAGCAACGCCGCGUGAGCGAAGAAGGCCUUCGGGUCGUAAAGCUCUGUUGUAAAGGAAGAAGGCGAUCAGGAAAUGGUAUGCGAGUGACGGUACUUUACCAGAAAGCCACGGCUAACUCGUGCCAGCAGCCGCGGUAAUACGUAGGUGGCGAGCGUUAUCCGGAAUCAUUGGGCGUAAAGAGGGAGCAGGCGGCCGCAAAGGUCUGUGGUGAAAGACCGAAGCUAAACUUCGGUAAGCCAUGGAAACCGGGCGGCUAGAGUGCGGAAGAGGAUCGUGGAAUUCCAUGUGUAGCGGUGAAAUGCGUAGAUAUAUGGAGGA